UCUGGCCUCAAAUCAGGUAGGACUACCCGCUGAACUUAA
rnacentral:rRNA from 17 species